AUGGCGUCAUCCUUGACAACGAUUACAUUGGCCUAAGAAGCAAUGCACUGAGAACAAAAGUAGUUAUUUAACGAACGACAAGAAAAACAGCUGCGCCUGGUGUUAUCAGUGAUGAAUUUUCAUUCUAAACAAAUGUCCCUUAAACAGAGGGAUUACACAUCAAAAAGACCAACUAACAUAUUCAGUCGGCAACAUACCAUCAGACAAGGUUCGUCCAAUCACUUCUAUACUCCAGGGUCCACAACCUUUUGAAGUAAAUCCACAAACUAUGAAAGUACACUCUGUAUUGCUCUGUAAAUCGUCCAGUAAGAUCAUGGGUGAGCCACCAGCUGGCAAAACAGUUCUAAGAAUCGUCUUCAAUUGAUUAUCCAUCUUAUCGCGCCAUGUCAAUGAUACGUUAUAUCCAAGUAGAAUGCCAUUAGCCUGGUCGUCUUUGAUCGCAUCCCAAACUAGACCUAUUCUUGUAGCACUGUACACGAUUAUUUCAAAAUUACUUGGUUGCACGGAUGGAACUGUAGAGUGCAAAAUAAGAUAUAAUUUGAAAGGAUGACUUGAUUUUUUUUACUGACAUAUUAUAUUCUAAGAACAAUGCUCGAAAUGUAUUGUUGUUGUGUUCCUUUAACACUACAACGUACCUUAUCAUUUCUAAAUAUGAUAAAAAGAUCACUCCAGUUUUACCAAAGCAAUCAACAAAUUUAUAUUAAUGAAUAGAAAUAGGAAAUAAAAAUGGAGAGGCAGGAUGGGCCGGCAUAAAAGAG